GAGUUUGAUCCUGGCUCAGGAUGAACGCUGGCGGCGUGCCUAAUACAUGCAAGUCGAGCGAACAGAUAAGGAGCUUGCUCCUUUGAAGUUAGCGGCGGACGGGUGAGUAACACGUGGGUAACCUACCUAUAAGACUGGGAUAACUUCGGGAAACCGGAGCUAAUACCGGAUAAUAUUUAGAACCGCAUGGUUCUAAAGUGAAAGAUGGUUUUGCUAUCACUUAUAGAUGGACCCGCGCCGUAUUAGCUAGUUGGUAAGGUAACGGCUUACCAAGGCGACGAUACGUAGCCGACCUGAGAGGGUGAUCGGCCACACUGGAACUGAGACACGGUCCAGACUCCUACGGGAGGCAGCAGUAGGGAAUCUUCCGCAAUGGGCGAAAGCCUGACGGAGCAACGCCGCGUGAGUGAUGAAGGGUUUCGGCUCGUAAAACUCUGUUAUUAGGGAAGAACAAAUGUGUAAGUAACUGUGCACAUCUUGACGGUACCUAAUCAGAAAGCCACGGCUAACUACGUGCCAGCAGCCGCGGUAA
rnacentral:rRNA from 1 species